GCUCUCUGAGCAUCCUCUGUCCAUGAGGCUGAGUGACUGUGACACAGAGAUGCCCAGGCAUACCCACGCAGGUAUAUUGCCUAUUGUCAUGGUGACUGUGUGAUGUUUGUACAGGAAAUAAUUCUAGAGUUAUGCAAGAUGUAGGAUAUUGGGUUUCUUAACUGUUGGGUGAAACUUGUCAUCUGAGGUGAGGCAGGUGUCAAGACUAACUCAGUCAGCACUGAGAACAAUGGACAACCGUAGAGCCAGCCCUAUGUUUACUGUCUGGACCAGAUGCAGGCUGAGGAUUUAUAAAGACAAAAGAACCCCAAGGAAAGUCUCUUAAUAGGGGAUCCCUAGGUGUUGGUGCACUUGUGGGUCUGUCGAUAGCAGCGGUGGUCCUGCUUGCUUUUAUCAUCACAGUGUGUGUUCUCUGUUACUUGUUUAUCAGUACGAAGCCACGCAGCAAGCUGGAUACAGGUUUAAGCUUGCAGACAGCAGGCAGAGAGACUAGAGGGAGUUCCUUGUGAAAUAUAUAAAGGCACUGGACUGGAUUCCCACAGUGCUGCAAUACAGUAGCCCUAGAACAGCUACAGACUGAGAAGCCGCAGUGCAAGCUUUCUCCCAUCAUCCCACACUAAUCUCUGUCCUGGAAGGACCAUCUCUGGGGGCAAGAAGGCAUGGAACUGUAUCCUUCAGAAGGCACCAGCUGGCAGUGCAUUUGCAGAGCCAAAUGGAUUCAGGAAAUGCUUCCUUAGCCAUAAACUGGACUGUGAUAACCAGUCCCGAGACCCUGACAGACUUUCCAGAGGUGUUUUAUGGCAACUGUAACCACCAUUAACAUCUGGGGGCAACAUGAAGCUGUGCCUGGUUAUGUGUUUCGUACAGCCAUUAAUGUGCAGAUGUUGUAUUGAGAGGCAAUGGUGUAUUUUGAUUUUUUUUUUCAUAGACUUAAGGUCAGAAGGGACCAUUAUGGUCAUCUAGUCUGACCUCCUGCACAGAAUCUCACCC